rnacentral:rRNA from 1 species
AAUCAACGCUGGCGGCGUGCCUCAGACAUGCAAGUCGAACGAUUAAAGCUCUCUUCGGAGAGUGUAUAGAGUGGCGCACGGGUGAGUAACACGUAAGUAAUCUACCUUUGAGUGGGGAAUAACAAUCGGAAACGAUUGCUAAUACCGCAUAAUGCAGCGGCACCGCAAGGUGACAGUUGUUAAAGGAGCAAUCCGCUUAAAGAGGAGCUUGCGGCAGAUUAGCUAGUUGGUAAGGUAAUGGCUUACCAAGGCUACGAUCUGUAUCCGGUCUAAGAGGACGGUCGGACACACUGACACUGAAUAACGGGUCAGACUCCUACGGGAGGCAGCAGUCGGGAAUUUUGGGCAAUGGGCGAAAGCCUGACCCAGCAACGCCGCGUGAAGGAUGAAGUAUUUCGGUAUGUAAACUUCGAAAGAAUAGGAAGAAUAAAUGACGGUACUAUUUAUAGGUCGGCUAACUACGUGCCAGCCGCCGCAGUAAC